rnacentral:lncRNA from 10 species
CCCACGCGGCGCAGCUCCCAAAGUUGCAGACAGCCCGGCGAACCGCGCAAUGCGCUUCUUCUGCCUGCAGCAGAGAAAAGGAAAGAAAACUCCGCAGGGGCUCCGUUGGCUUCUCCACGAGUGACAACCAUGUUUUCCCAGAUAGAAGACCGGAGCCCUGCUCCUUUGCGAUCCGCCGAGGGCUGCAGAGAGCAUCCUCAUCCAUUUGGGCACCCCUGCCCAGGAAGAGCCCGGCCAUCCCUUUCCGGACUGGAUCCUUAAGAGGUGAAUUUUCUUCCGUGGAUUCCGAUUUGCUCCGUCUGACCAGCCUAGGCAAUCCAGCAUCGCGUGGUACCAGUGCCGCUGGGCACACUGGCUUCACGCCGGCUCCGCCUCACCAGCAAGCGCAUUCCCAGGUGGAGUCUCACUCUCUCGCCCAGACUGGAGUGCAGUGAAGCAAUCUCAGCUCACUGCAACCUCCACCCUCCCGGGUUCAAGUAAUUCUCCUGCUUCAGCCUCCUGAGUAGCUAGGAUUACAGGCAUGCACCAUCAUACCUGGCUGUAGCCCUUAUUUUAAAUUCAAUGUACUGUAAUGAUUUACUUGGUUUAUUGUCUUAACUUUCUGUUCCACUGGAAUACAGGUUCAAUAAGGAGGGAUUUUAAUCAAUUUUGUUCUCUGAAGUGUCUUCAGAACCAAAUGAGUAAAAAAUUAUCAUUGUUGACGUUUUCACUUCGUGCUAGCAUAUGGGCAAUCUCAAUUUAUUUCUAAUAACUCCCUGUAUCUUUCAUGGUCAGGCUCAGGAUGGACCAUGAGCUUUCAAAAAGGAAAAAGGUGGAAAUCCUCAACUAUGCUGCCAUCUGAAUAAGUGUUUCUUUGUAGAUGCACAGAGUCAAGGAAAAUUACAUCCCUGCAUUAUGUAAUGUACCAACAACGCACUUACCCACUGUUUUAAUCUAGGUUAUUCUUGAAAGCAGAGCCUGAGACAAAGGUAGACACAUUCUAUUUAUGAGUCUAACACCCAGGAGCAGGAAUGAGAGAUAGGGGAGUGAACUGGGGAAAAGGGAAACUAAGUCCGAGCAAAACCAGAUACUGCUCUUAUCAAGUGGUCCACCCCUAUUAAUGGCUACAUAAUGCAGAACUUUCUCAGGAUUCUUCUUAAACUUUAUCUCAGAACUGUCUGCCUCAGGGAGAAAGGAGAAGUAUUUCUCCAUCAGCAGCCACCUCCUGUGUGUUGAGGGCUGCUCCUUUGGGGCAUUAACCCACUGCCUCCACCACCCCAACCCUCUGGGCUGCAAAGAGCUAGCUGACAGUCCAGCUGGUACCUUAGCAUCACACAUUGCUGCAUCAGAGAGGUCUUAAGACAGGAAGCUAGAGUCUUGGUGCAUGCUCGAAGUGAGACGGUGUCAGCACAGAGCAGGGUAAAAUCUUCCCGUUAACUCUUCACCAGAGCUAUGACUGGAAUCAGAGGUUGAAAAGAUGUGAGACUGUACCCAAGAAGCAUCUUAUAAGCCUACGUAAUAUACUGUUAGACUCAUCGAAAUCUAUUUCCUCCCUUCUUUAUAAUCAAAACUUCAGUGUCCAGAAUAAAGUUGGCAGAAGGGUUAAAUUGGAAAGUUAAAUGUACUAGAAGGUGUACAUUUAUAAGUUUUGACCUUGAGUCGUGUUCAAGGAGAAAGUGACAUUGGAACUUGGAAAAUUUAAAAAUGAUUCUACUUGAAAAAUUUGACCAUUGCAUAGAAAUAUUAGCUAUCGUCUAAUCUUUUGUAAUCUUAGAAACAAUCGUGAAUUGUUUGGUGAAAAAUGAAAAAAUAACCAUUUCUUAUGUCUCCGUGACCUUUAUAGACCAAUGUCACCAACUUUUCCUAAGGUAAUUGUUUCCUACUGUCAAAUAGCUCUAGUGAUAUAAAUCUUAACAAUCAAUGAAGGGAAAACUGGUGGAAACAUAGGAGGAAAAAUACUGGGAUAAUUUUCAUCACAAAGUAUUGGCAUUAACAUUGGUUAGAAUAGGGGAGAAACUGCAUGACUUGACAACUGGACAUUCCUGUAUGUUGUAUGAGGCCCUGUCUUAACAGAAAUAGUGAUGUCAUCAUCAUCCUCUCUUAUUUGGUCUUGAAUUGCCACCAAUCGGAUAAAACCUUUGAAUUAUUUAACUCAAUAUAUGUUAAGUUUCUACUAUGUGCUGUGUAUUGGUACUAUAAAUAUGAAUAAGACAUAAGAUAUUACAUUCAAAAACAUCAGAAUACAUGUUCUUUUAAAGUAUACCCCAAAACAUUUACCAUGUGUUCUGGGGCGCAUGUUAGGCUGGAUCACAAAUCAAGUCUCAAGAAUUUCAAAAGAUUGAAAUCAUAUAGAGUAUGAAUUAAACCAGAAAUCAAGUACAUAAAGGUAACAAAAAAUUUCCAAAAUGCAUUAAUUUAAGGAACAUACACCUCAUGACCCAUGAGCCAAAAAAUAAAUCACGGCAAAAUUGCAAAAAUAUUUUGAAAUGAAUUUUAAAGAAAAUACUUAGCAUAUUAAAUACUUAGCAUAUUAAAGCUCUAAGUACAUAUGUUAGAAAUUUUACCGAAAGGUUGGCUAUCAGUGUUUCCAGAAGCCAGGGAAAAAGUUUAUACAAUUUGAUCGCUGAGGCAGGGAAACAAAGUGAGACCUCCGAUCGCCCUGCCUUUCUGAGGUGAGCACUCUGGAUCCCAUCGCAGGAGAUCAGAGUCUUGCUGAGUUGAGGAGAGGAAGAUUGGAGUUGAUACUGAGAUAGCUUGAAUUUUCAGGACAAAGUAUCAACAAGGAGGAAGGUAGACAAAAAAAUCCAGAAAUCUAUGUAGAGACCCCAUUGUGUACAUUGCGGAACACUAAGCCUAACAAUUCUCAAAAUUAGCGUGAGAUUGGGAAAUAUCUAAUUUCCAUCCAGCCACAGUGGAGAGUCCUGACUGAAAACCAGGCAUUCGCUAAAGAUCCCAGAAAGGUUGUGUGUUACAUACGUAGGGCUAAACUAUCCUGACUAAAAACUACACUACACUUGCUCCUCACCCCCACAAAAAGCUUAAAAACAAGCCUCAAUAGUAUAAAGCUGAUCUGUAAGUAACUAAACUACCUGCAGAACAAAGUCCAAAUUUAUUAGUUCCAGUACUCCAGGAGAAAAUGAGACACUGAGUGGGACUCAGGGAUUGCUCCAGGCCACACAGUCAGCAGGAGGCAAAGCCCAGAUUCAAAUGCAGAUUACUCAGCUCCACAAUCCACAUCCUCACAGGAGGCUGCACUCCUUGCCCAAGCGUCAGACAGGAGCAAAGAGAAAGAAGGCAACCAGCUGGCUACUUUCUUCCCUUCUUGGAUGCCUCCAACAGGGUGAGAAGGACUAAACAAAUGACCAAGUGUCAUCCCAUUUUGGACAUACUUAAAACACCCCAUGGAAUUUUUAUUCUGACUUUCUUCUGCCUGUGUGGCAUUUAUGUUUAAAUAAAAGAGAAUUCAACUCGUAUUAAAACACUAACUCAGAGAAGAAAUUUAACUGCAAAUUUGGUUAAUGACCAUGGAUUCCUAAUGAGAAGAAAAGCUAGACACUGAGAGUUUAGAAUAAACUCAAGAAUCUUAAAAAUUUUCCCAUGGAACUGCCUUUGCACCUCUAUAAAAAAUUAAUUGACCAUAUGGUAAAGCUCUCUGCAACGGAUGCAUCGCUGGUGCUCUGCUCAGUUCCUCUUUACCUGCUUCUGCACUCAUGCUGUGAUGGGAACUGACCGCCUGAAGUCUGCAUCAUGACUUGAUGGUUACCCAGGGGUUUAUGUGUGUCCAACUGAACACCGUGGUUCUGGGAUUGAGGAUCCGCACAAACACAGGCAGGAGUUUGGAGGGAAGAAGGGGGCACAGCAGGAGUGUAUCUCAAGCCCACCUCAAAGGCAGCAGAGCAUUCCAAGUUGCUGAAAACCUGUGCAAAUGGGGCCUCUAAAACAAACAUUGUACUGUGAGCUCUCGGGGAAGGGGCAGGAAAAGGAUGUUGAUAAUUAAGGGGGCAUUUUCUUGAGGCGGCAGAUGAGGAGGGAGGCUUACUAUUUUUAAUCCCCUCAGCCCCAGGACAUGAUAAUCAGAGGAGAUCAUGUCCAAUCUUGAAUCAAUUCCCUGUUCAAAAAGAGGUGCUAAUACCCCAGGGACCAGACUCUGAAAAUACCAUGAAAAUACUCUGAAAAUACCGUGCUGGUCAUUCCUGAGUCCCUGUUCUAUGCCCUACAACAUAUUAG